rnacentral:rRNA from 1 species
AGUCUGCAACUCGACUGCAUGAAGCUGGAAUCGCUAGUAAUCGCGGAUCAGAAUGCCGCGGUGAAUACGUUCCCGGGUCUUGUACACACCGCCCGUCACACCAUGGGAGUAGGUAAUGCCCGAAGUCUGUGACCUAACCGUAAGGAAGGAGCAGCCGAAGGCAGGUCGGAUGACUGGGGCGAAGUCGUAACAAGGUAUC